UACAGAGGGGGCAAGCGUUAUUCGGAAUUAUUGGGCGUAAAGGGCUCGUAGGCGGCCAACUAAGUCAGACGUGAAAUCCCUCGGCUUAACCGGGGAACUGCGUCUGAUACUGGAUGGCUUGAGUUUGGGAGAGGGAUGCGGAAUUCCAGGUGUAGCGGUGAAAUGCGUAGAUAUCUGGAGGAACACCGGUGGCGAAGGCGGCAUCCUGGACCAACACUGACGCUGAGGAGCGAAAGCCAGGGGAGCAAACGGG
rnacentral:rRNA from 1 species